rnacentral:rRNA from 1 species
AUUGAACGCUGGCGGCAGGCCUAACACAUGCAAGUCGAACGGUAGCACAGAGAGCUUGCUCUCGGGUGACGAGUGGCGGACGGGUGAGUAACGUCUGGGAAACUGCCCGAUGGAGGGGGAUAACUACUGGAAACGGUAGCUAAUACCGCAUAACGUCGCAAGACCAAAGUGGGGGACCUUCGGGCCUCACACCAUCGGAUGUGCCCAGAUGGGAUUAGCUAGGAGGGGGGGUAAUGGCUCACCUAGGCGACGAUCCCUAGCUGGUCUGAGAGGAUGACCAGCCACACUGGAACUGGGACACGGUCCAGACUCCUACGGGAGGCAGCAGUGGGGAAUAUUGCACAAUGGGCGCAAGCCUGAUGCAGCCAUGACGCGUGUAUGAAGAAGGCCUUCGGGUUGUAAAGUACUUUCAGCGGGGAGGAAGGCGGUGGAGUUAAUAACUUCACCGAUUGACGUUACCCGCAGAAGAAGCACCGGCUAACUCCGUGCCAGCCGCCGCGGUAA